CCCUAUGGGGUGCAGCAGGCGCGAAAACUUCACACUGCGGGAAACCGCGAUGAGGGAAUUCCAAGUGUCUGGGGUAAGACCCAGUCUUUUCUUGACUCUUAAUAGGUCUUGGAAUAAGGGGGGGGUAAGACCGGUGCCAGCCGCCGCGGUAAUACCGGCCCCCCAAGUGGUCGUCACUUUUAUUGGGCCUAAAACGUCCGUAGCCGGUUUAGUAAACCCGUGGGUAAAUCAACCAGCUUAACUGGUUGAAUUCUGCGGAGACUGCUAGACUAGGGACCGGGAGAGGUACGAGGUACUCUUGGGGUAGGGGUAAAAUCCUGUCAUCCCAGGGGGACCACUUGUUGCGAAGGCGUCGUACUAGAACGGAUCCGACGGUCAGGGACGAAGCCUAGGGGCACGAACCGGAUUAGAUACCCGGGUAGUCCUAGGUGCAAACGCUGUGGACUUGGUGUUGGGGAUUCCAUGAGGGUUCCCAGUGCCGAAGCGAAGGUGUUAAGUCCACUGCCUGGGGAGUACGGUCGCAAGGCUGAAACUUAAAGGAAUUGGCGGGGGAGCACUGCAACGAGAGGAGCGUGCGGUUUAAUUGGAUUCAACGCCGGAAAACUCACCAGGGCCGACGGACAAAUGAAGGUCAAGUUGACGACUUUACCGGAUUGUUCGA
rnacentral:rRNA from 1 species